GCAGCAGUGGGGAAUAUUGGACAAUGGGGGAAACCCUGAUCCAGCAAUACCAUGUGUGUGAAGAAGGCCUUAGGGUUGUAAAGCACUUUAGUUGGGGAGGAAGUUAUAUAGGUUAAUAGCUUUUAUAAUUGACGUUACCCAAAGAAUAAGCACCGGCUAACUCCGUGCCAGCAGCCGCGGUAAUACGGGGGGUGCAAGCGUUAAUCGGAAUUACUGGGCGUAAAGGGUCUGUAGGUGGUAUGUUAAGUCAGAUGUGAAAGCCCAGGGCUCAACCUUGGAACUGCAUUUGAUACUGGCAAACUAGAGUAUAAUAGAGGAGUGGGGAAUUUCUGGUGUAGCGGUGAAAUGCGUAGAGAUCAGAAGGAACAUCAAUGGCGAAGGCAACACUCUGGAUUAAUACUGACACUGAGGGACGAAAGCGUGGGGAUCAAACAGGAUUAGAUACCCUGGUAGUCCACGCUGUAAACGAUGAGUACUAGCUGUUGGAUUCGGUGUAAAGGAUCUAGUGGCGCAGCUAACGCGUUAAGUACUCCGCCUGGGGACUACGGUCGCAAGACUAAAACUCAAAGGAAUUGACGGGGACCCGCACAAGCGGUGGAGCAUGUGGUUUAAUUCGAUGCAACGCGAAGAACCUUACCUGGUCUUGACAUCCUGCGAACUUUCUAGAGAUAGAUUGGUGCCUUCGGGAACGCAGUGACAGGUGCUGCACGGCUGUCGUCAGCUCGUGUUGUGAAAUGUUGGGUUAAGUCCCGCAACGAGCGC
rnacentral:rRNA from 1 species